rnacentral:rRNA from 1 species
CCUUCGGUGGACAGCAGUGAGGACUAUUGGUCCAUGGGCGCGAGCCUGAACCAGCCAAGUCGCGUGAGGGCUGAAGGUUCUAUGGAUCGUACACCUCUUUUAUAAGGGCAUAAAGUGUGGGACGUGUCCUAUUUUGUAUGUACCUUAUGAAUAAGGAUCGGCUAACUCCGUGCCAGCAGCCGCGGUAAUACGGAGGAUCCGAGCGUUAUCCGGAUUUAUUGGGUUUAAAGGGUGCGUAGGCGGCCUUUUACGUCAGCGGUGAAAGUCUGUGGCUCCACCAUAGAAUUGCCGUUGAAACUGGGGGGCUUGAGUAUGUUUGAGGCAGGCGCAAUGCGUGGUGUAGCGGUGAAAUGCUUAG